CGGGACCCGGAAUUGGGAUCAGGAUGCCUUUCCAGCCCGGGCUCUGUUUUCUGGACCUAAAUAACGCCGAAUCCCUCAAAGGAUCAGCGUUUCCGGUCACUUAAAAAAAACAAGCAGAGCCCGCAGAUGCUUUUCAAAGUGCAAGUAUAUCGUCACGCACCCGGAAUGUACCUUUUCAUCCGACCAAGUCUGAAGCAUUGCUUCCAAGGUGAAAGAGCAUCAUGGUAAUCACGAAGAGCUAACGCUUUCCUUCCCAGAAAAUCUGCUUUCAAAAAUAUUGAUAUAUUCCUCCAUAACUGACUAAUUCAGCCUGCCGAAGACCAAGCCCUAAUAAGGAAAUGAUUUUUUAGGCCACACCAUACCUCUCUCUGCUUGCUGCUUUGUGCCAGCCCCAAGACUAACACAAUGCCCUUUAACUCAUUGGAUCGGUGACAGCCUUCUGGACAUCAGGAUGGGCUCAGCCACUCCUCCCUUUGUCACUCAGAACUUGAGCCUUCAUUAAAUCUCUACAAUUCGAGUUCUAACCUGUUCCAUAAGAGAUUGGACUUGAAUAAUUGUGAGAUUCCUUUCCCCACUGAAGUUAGGUGAUAUCAUCCAUCUUCAGGCAUCUCUGGCAUUUUUCUCUUUAGGAAUAUGAUGGCAACACAAAUAGAAUGUGAAGAUUCAAGAGGAAUGAAGACAAAAAAUGUAGAGAACAUGAAGGACUGUUUUUCUUCAUUCUUCUGUGGCAUGGGAAAAUCUAUUUAUAAGGGUUAAGGGGAGGUAUUCAGCCCAUAGCUGAGAAGUGCCAGGCCCAUUCUCUAAAAGGAUUACUAAUAUCUAUUUAUAGCACCCAGCAGGUCAUCAUGUUCUGGAUCAAGAUACACACACUGUCACAAGUACAGAAGAGGCAGCCACACUCCAUAAACUAUUCAUUUGAUAUUUUAUUUGACACCAUCUUAACUUUUAAAGGAAAAAUUAACUUGUAGCUUAAAAUUAUGUUAGAGCACACUCAAUAUUUAGCAUUAGAUUUUAUUUUUAAGGCAAAGGAUUAUCACAGGUUUUAUAUUAAGUAGACUGUACAUAAACAGGCAGGGGGUGAUAAGCCAAUAAAUAACAUUGCUUUAAACACUAUAGAGUCCAGUUUAUGGCAUAUUAUUUUCUAACAGUACAAAACUAAUACAGAAAAUACAUUUGAAAGAUCACAGUGUUCAGAACAUUGUAUAACAGCAGUUUUAAAGACAGUAAGGUGCAUCUCUAAGCUUCUGACUCAACCCUGCUUCCAGAGAAUUCAUUAUACCAUGCACUGGCUGUAAGCAAAUCCCCCACACGAAGGGGAGGCGACAUCAACUGACCUGUAGCACUUCCCCCGCCAGGAACAACCAAGAACAAAAGCUAAAAUCCGAUGAGCAUUGAUUGGCAAGUUGAUCCUGUUCAGCCAGGCAGCAGCUAACUUGCCCCAGUGACCAUGUCUUUGUGUAUUAAGUGUUUGCCAUUUUGUCCUUGAGAAUGUAUGCAUUCGAGCUUGUGAUUGCUAGUUUCUUUGUCAAAUACCUAAAUGGAUUGUGACUAAAGAUCAAUUGAAUGUCAUGUAUUGCAUUAUACUUUCUUGCUCUGACUGAAAUACCCAUUAUUUUCUUGAAAUAUUAAGUACAGAAUAACAGAGUUCUAGAAAGUGAUUUUUUUGGCAUAAUAAUAUGUAAUAUACCAGAAUACUUGAUAACUUGGUUUUAUUAUAAAAUACAGUACUACAACAUUUUGUGAUAUAGCAAAAUAUCUGACACAAUGUUCUGCUCUAAUUUAGAUGUAACUGCUACAAAUACGUCUUUGAAAGCGCCUCAAAGUACCCCUAAAGGAAUAUAAUAAUUAGCAAUGAGUUGUAGAACCUUUUUUGGCAAAAAGAAAAAAAAAGGCAUUUUUUAAUAAGUCUCUCAUUUUGUGUGCAAGGCUUUCAAAAUUUUAGUUAUAUACAACAUAUAACUGGUGUUGGAUUUAAUGCUAUUGGAAAUUAGGCUUUUAAAAUCAUAAUAACUAAUCUGUGUUAUUUGGUGUAUUUUAAAAUAAAUUUAUGUUUUUAACUCUGCAUGUGUGCUGAGGCAAAUGCAUUGUAAAAAGAG
rnacentral:lncRNA from 1 species